UACGUACUGUGCGAACGUUAUUCGGAAUCACUGGGCUUAAAGGGUGCGUAGGCGGCCAAUUAAGUAGGGUGUGAAAUGUCUCGGCUCAACCGAGGAACUGCGCUCUAAACUAAUUGGCUCGAGUGAGAUAGGGGUGUGCGGAACUUCCAGUGGAGCGGUGAAAUGUGUUGAUAUUGGAAGGAACGCCGGUGGCGAAAGCGGCACACUGGGUCUUAACUGACGCUGAGGCACGAAAGCCAGGGGAGCGAACGGG
rnacentral:rRNA from 1 species